ACUACACAGAAACGGGCAAGCACUCAGAAGCAUUUCGUUUGCCUUGAUCCUGGAGGCGCGCGGCCGUCUCCCGCUGCCGAGGAUUUGACGCGAACUCCUGGCAGAUCAGAAAUGUUCAGGCGAACGGCGGUCAUGUUUGUCCGUGGACCCAAGACUUCGUUGACGGGCAAAUAUGGAACACUGCAACAAGGACUGGUGUGGAUAGCGUGCUGCGCUAGGCUCGCCAAUUAAAAAGAAUUCUGGUAAGACGCAUACUUGGUUACAAAAGCCUCACGC